CCUACGGGAGGCAGCAGUGGGGAAUUUUGGACAAUGGGCGAAAGCCUGAUCCAGCCAUUCCGCGUGCAGGAUGAAGGCCCUCGGGUUGUAAACUGCUUUUGUACAGAACGAAAAGGUUUCUACUAAUACUAGGAGCUCAUGACGGUACUGUAAGAAUAAGCACCGGCUAACUACGUGCCAGCAGCCGCGGUAAUACGUAGGGUGCAAGCGUUAAUCGGAAUUACUGGGCGUAAAGCGUGCGCAGGCGGUUAUAUAAGUCAGAUGUGAAAUCCCCGGGCUCAACCUGGGAACUGCAUUUGAGACUGUAUAGCUAGAGUACGGUAGAGGGGGAUGGAAUUCCGCGUGUAGCAGUGAAAUGCGUAGAUAUGCGGAGGAACACCGAUGGCGAAGGCAAUCCCCUGGACCUGUACUGACGCUCAUGCACGAAAGCGUGGGGAGCAAACAGGAUUAGAUACCCUGGUAGUCCACGCCCUAAACGAUGUCAACUGGUUNUUGGGUCUUAACUGACUCAGUUAACGAAGCUAACGCGUGAAGUUGACCACCUGGGGAGUACGGCCGCAAGGUUGAACUUAAAUGAAUUGAGGCUGAGACGNGCGAGACGACGACGAGGAGGAGG
rnacentral:rRNA from 1 species